AUUGAACGCUGGCGGCAUGCCUUACACAUGCAAGUCGAACGGCAGCACGGGUGCUUGCACCUGGUGGCGAGUGGCGAACGGGUGAGUAAUACAUCGGAACAUGUCCUGUAGUGGGGGAUAGCCCGGCGAAAGCCGGAUUAAUACCGCAUACGAUCUACGGAUGAAAGCGGGGGACCUUCGGGCCUCGCGCUAUAGGGUUGGCCGAUGGCUGAUUAGCUAGUUGGUGGGGUAAAGGCCUACCAAGGCGACGAUCAGUAGCUGGUCUGAGAGGACGACCAGCCACACUGGGACUGAGACACGGCCCAGACUCCUACGGGAGGCAGCAGUGGGGAAUUUUGGACAAUGGGCGAAAGCCUGAUCCAGCAAUGCCGUGUGUGUGAAGAAGGCCUUCGGGUUGUAAAGCACUUUUGUCCGGAAAGAAAUCCUUGGCCCUAAUACGGUCGGGGGAUGACGGUACCGGAAGAAUAAGCACCGGCUAACUACGUG
rnacentral:rRNA from 1 species